UCUUUGGCAAUAAGUUAAAAAUCAGAAUUAGAUCAGCCGAACGAUUGAAUGCAACAUAUGAAGGAAAAUUAACAAGUCAAUGAAAAGUUCCAUGGCUGAAAGGGGAGGAAAAUUCUCAUUCACUUAAGCACAAAGCCCAGCUUCAACUGGGAAAAGGGGGAAAGCGAAGCAAUCUACUUAGAAAUUUAAAGUAUUUGACACUCUGCCGGCAUUCAGAAUACAGGAUAGAGUACUAACCCGGCAACCUUCGCAAUGAUGGGAUCUGAAUGCAGAGGAUUAUGGUCACCAGAUAGCCUAUAGAGCAAUGCCUGCCAAAGUGAAGAACAUUCAGAAUCUGUGUAGAAUUUCUAAAGAGUCAUCAAAAGUUUUCAAAGAUGUGUUCGGGUUCCAUGGAUUCAAGAAUCUCAACAGAGAACUAGAGUAGUGAAGAAUAGACAGUAAAGAGAGAAGAAUGGAAGAUAGGAUAAUAAUACUCGCACUUUCUUCACUUACAAUUGUUGUGCGUUCAACACUUGAGUCCUAAUUACCCCCACCCGCACCCCCUCAGCCAACUGAGUGUAUCGAUUGAACAUCAAACCUCCUUAACCAUCCUAUCAGUUUUUAUUUCUUCUAACACAUACACUUCUCAUGUCCUAUCCUUAUUCUGACACAAUAUUUGGCAGAAGUUUUAGGUUUCUCUUCUUAAAGGAGUUAGGUUAAACAUUCUUUUAAUAGAAGCUCUGAAAUGUAAGCUCGCUUUUAAUGAAUAAAAAUAAAAAAGUAGUUUGGAGAAAAGCUACCUAGUUCUUAUGUCCCUAGUUCUUAUGAAACAUGAAAUAUGAUAUCUCUAAUGUCAGAGUCCUAACACCUGUAAGCCACAGAACCCAGAUCACUGGUACCAUGCAGAGGUCAACUCUCUUUCCAAGUUACCCCAACCUCCAGUACACUAACAUACCAUACCCAAAAAGCCAAAACACUCCUAAACAACCUGACCACGGAAAACCCAUGACCACCCAAGUUUUCUUCCCAGGACACCUCAGCUUCUGGAAGACUAUCUGUCAAACCAUCACUGUAAGCCACCAGUAAUUAAUCGGUUGGAUAAAUUAUUAGCAAGAUAUAGAACUAUAUGUAACUUCUGUCUGCUAAAAAAUUGCAUUGACAGCAUACAGGUUAUGGAAUAUGUGUUAAUGAAAGACAGAUUUAAUAGUGUGUGCAAAACUACCAUAACCAAAGAAAUAGAAUCUUACAUGCAAACCUGCAUGAAAUAUUAAUCCUUUUUUAGACAUUAAAAAUGCGAGGUACAAUGGAAUUCCUUUUCAAAAUUCAAAAUCAUUUGGUAUAAGUUGGACUUUUAAAGUACAUAUCACAUUGUUCCAUUAGCUCAAUUGACUGAUUCCAUCUAUUGCUUCACUGCAAUCAUUACAGUUCAGGGCAUUUGAAUGACUGAUGUAGCCAAAGACAUGAACAAUAAAAUAUCUAAGGCACAUGGCUAGAAGCUGACAUGCUGAAUCAACGUCAAUGUUUAGAUGCAUGGAAAAACAUAUCAUGCAAUUUAUAUUAAAGGGAUCAUUGUAGGUGGAUAAGUUGAUUCAGAAUUGAAGAUACAUAUCCUAAAUCGCAUUCCAAAUGUCUGAGAAAAUAAGAGAGAAUAUACAAGUAAAUGAUGGAAGGGCCAAAAAAGGGAUGCAGGGUGAUUAAUGAAAAAUCCAAUGUGUUCCAAACUAUAUUACAUAAUUAUAACAUGCCUGAGAUGGUUGGGUACGAUCCUCAAACACCGAAAAUGGUAUACUUUCAGGAAUUUUCACAGCUGAAGUCUGAUUCGAAGGGUAGUUUGUAUAAGAAAAUGGCUUAGAUGACUUUGAGAAGCCACCAGCACCACGUAGAAAGACAGUUGUCCUGCAAGCAACAUGAUAGUUGAGUGUGAUGAUAACAAAGCAUUAUAAAGAAUGUUUUCAGUAUUAUGUUAGGAAGCUAGAAAUAGUGAUGAAAGAACAAAGACAGAAAAAGAAGCAAAGAUAAAGCCUUGCAGUGUAUUAUUCACUUUCACUUUACACACAAUAUAAGCUGAAACUUCCAAAGGUUCUCCCUGUCAAAAACAUCAACUCCAAGAAACUGUCCCUCAACAUCCCAAAAGAUAACAAUAUAUAGACUUUCCAGGAAAGUCUCCCCCCUAACAACUAAAAACUUUACUACUUUUACCUUUUAAAUUUCUUCCUAACCCUCUCAUUACCUCCAUGCCUAACAACUUACCUGUUCAUGCAUAAUAAAUCACCAGAAUCUUUCUCAUAGCUUUUUGUUUCAAUCUCC
rnacentral:lncRNA from 1 species